rnacentral:sRNA from 1 species
GCCGGCGUCUCAGCUGCUCGCGCUUUGGGCGCUGGCGGCUGUGGCUCUACCCGGCUCCGGGGCGGAGGGCGACGGCGGGUGGUGAGCGGCCCGGGAGGGGCCGGGCGGUGGGGUCACGUGCGGCGGGCGGGGCGCGGGCUGACCCAGCUGUGCCCGCAGGCGCCCGGGCGGGCCGGGGGCCGUGGCGGAGGAGGAGCGCUGCACGGUGGAGCGUCGGGCCGACCUCACCUACGCGGAGUUCGUGCAGCAGUACGUGCGCCCUUGAUCGCGGAGGUCGCGUCUUGUUCACCCGCCUGCCUGCCCGGACCGCCCAAGGCCGCCUUCCCCUGACUUCGCGCGCGCGUGUGGCGUUGGGGCUGCGAGGGUGGCGGUCGGGCCUGGCCGCGAUUCUGCCCUUCUUUCCAGGUACGCCUUCGUCAAGCCCGUCAUCCUGCAGGGACUCACGGACAACUCGGUGAGCGCGUGCCCGUCCGUCCCCGGCCACUCUCGCCCGUGCUGGGCCCGGCCACUAAGCCCCCUCUCCGCCCCCGCAGAGGUUCCGGGCCCUGUGCUCCCGCGAAAGGUUGCUGGCUUCGUUUGGGGACAGAGUGGUCCGGCUGAGCACCGCCAACACCUACUCCUACCACAAAGUGGACUUGCCCUUCCAGGAGUACGUGGAGCAGCUGCUGCACCCCCAGGACCCCACCUCCCUGGGCAAUGACACCCUGUACUUCUUCGGGGACAACAACUUCACCGAGUGGGCCUCUCUUUUUCGGCACUACUCCCCACCCCCAUUUGGCCUGCUGGGAACCGCUCCAG